AGAGUUUGAUCCUGGCUCAGAGCGAACGCUGGCGGCAGGCUUAACACAUGCAAGUCGAGCGGGCAUAGCAAUAUGUCAGCGGCAGACGGGUGAGUAACGCGUGGGAACGUACCUUUUGGUUCGGAACAACACAGGGAAACUUGUGCUAAUACCGGAUAAGCCCUUACGGGGAAAGAUUUAUCGCCGAAAGAUCGGCCCGCGUCUGAUUAGCUAGUUGGUGAGGUAACGGCUCACCAAGGCGACGAUCAGUAGCUGGUCUGAGAGGAUGAUCAGCCACAUUGGGACUGAGACACGGCCCAAACUCCUACGGGAGGCAGCAGUGGGGAAUAUUGGACAAUGGGCGCAAGCCUGAUCCAGCCAUGCCGCGUGAGUGAUGAAGGCCCUAGGGUUGUAAAGCUCUUUUGUGCGGGAAGAUAAUGACGGACCGCAAGAA
rnacentral:rRNA from 1 species